rnacentral:lncRNA from 1 species
CCAUGAUGUUCUACCUCACCUCUGUCCAAGAGCAAUGAAACCAACCAACCAUGAACCAAACCUCUAAAACCCUGAGACAAAGUAAAUUUUUUUUCUUUUUAGGUAUUUUUGUCACAGUGGCAAAAAGCUGACUAACACACUGUUCUAAGCACUGAAAAAAUGAUCGAUCAUCAUAAUAGAAAAAUAAUACUCUAAGGUAUCAAGAAGACCAGGUGAAGACAUCUGAAGAAGAUGACUACAAGCCACAGAGAGAGGAUCUCAAAAGAAACCUAACCUGCUGCUAAAACCUCGACCUCAAACUUCUAGCCUCUAAAUCUCUAUCAUCUAAGCUUUCCAGUCUGUGGUACUUUGUUAUAGCAGAUCUAGCAAACUAAUAAAUGGUCAAUAAAGGUCUCUCUCUCUCAAUGAGGAUAUUUACUAUAGGAUUCCCAGAGUAAAAAGAGUAGAAGAGUGUUUCAGACUAAAAAAAAAAAAAAGAAAAAGGCAAGAGAGGCCUUAGAGUGAGAAUUAAAGGACAGUUGUGCUUUUUUGGUUUUAAGAAUUAUCAUAACCCCUUCAUUAGGUGCUUACUCACAAGAUGCUUUAUAAGUUGUGAAUAAUUUUACAGCAUUAUUCUCAAUCUUUACAACAACCACAUGAGGAGGGUAGUAAUAACUUCAUAUUACAGAUGGCAACUAAGUCACCUGAGAUAUUAAGUGACCAGACCAAGUUCACAUAGUAACAAGAGCCAGAACUUGCUCUCAAACCAAUAUUAUAU